rnacentral:ribozyme from 1 species
UACCCAGUAAUUCCUAUCCUUACCUCCUCGUGGUACUGACCGGUGUACGAGUAACCUCAGGGAAGAUCGGGUAACUAACCCCGGUGGGAACUCUGGCUGCUGAAAGGGAAGG